GGCAGCGGGAAGGAAGGGGGUGGGUGCGAGGCGAAAAUGAAGCUCAUUGGACAAGACAGGGAGGGGGCGGGAUAAGCGAGCAAAACGGAGUGGUGGGCAAUUGCGUCCUACCGCGUGUGCCCGCGCAGGAUGUAGCCGGUUACUGGGAGACUACAGCGCCUCCCGGCGGUCUAGACUGGCCAUCACUUGCUGCUCUCAGCCUGGAGUCCAGAUGGAGAGACCAGGUGGACCUCUGAACAGAGGGCUUCAUAGCAGAGGUGAAACCCAGACUUCAGCUCACGUUGCCUUGCCAAGCCGUGCACAAGUGAAGAGACAAGUGGAUCUGAUCUAUGUAGCCUGCGCCAGGGCUACACAAUGAGACCCUGCCAAAAA